rnacentral:rRNA from 1 species
CAAGGAAUUUUCGGCAAUGGGCGCAAGCCUGACCGAGCAACGCCGCGUGGGCGAGGAAGUCUUUCGGGAUGUAAAGCCCUUUUCUCACUGAAGAAUGAGAGACGGUAGGUGAGGAAUAAGCAUCGGCUAACUACGUGCCAGCAGCCGCGGUAAUACGUAGGAUGCAAGCGUUGUCCGGAAUUACUGGGCGUAAAGGGCGAGUAGGCGGAAUAGUAAGUCAGAUGUGAAAUAGCCCGGCUUAACCGGGAGGGGUCAUUUGAAACUGCUAAACUAGAGUGCAGUAGAGGCUAGCGGAAUUCCCGGUGUAGUGGUGAAAUGCGUAGAUAUCGGGAGGAACACCAGUGGCGAAGGCGGCUAGCUGGGCUGUAACUGACGCUGAGGCGCGAAGGCUAGGGGAGCGAACAGG